GGCGGCGGCGGCUCGGGCUCCGCGGGCCAGACGCGGGCUCGCGGGCCGGCGGCGGCGUGGCGUAUGGGCCUGCCACGUGGCGCCUCUGGUAGGCUGCGGGCGGCGGCGGCGAUGUGUCCGGUGGCGGCGGACGCGUCCGGCCGGCCGCCGCAUGAGAGCCACGGAUGCCUGCCAAGGAGGCGGAUCAGCUCGCCUCCAUCGUCAAUACAGCCGCCGCGCCACCACCCUCCUCCGGUCCUUACUCCCCCUGCAGCCCCAAAAGCUCUGCUGGUUCUUUCGGCGAGAUCCACCGUCUCCUGAGGUCCUUAUCCACCCCAGCUCGCGAGGAAGCCUCGGGAGGAGGGGAGCCCUCGUCGCGAGGAAGCUGCGUAAGGAGGAGCUCAACCGGGCGUCGCCGGCCAGAGAAGGAGAGGCGCGGAUGCCUGCCAGGGAGGCAGAUCGGCUCGUCUCCGCGGCUGGAAAGGGCUCGGUGGUAAGUUUGGCUUUUUCUCAUAUCUCAGCGAGCCCUGCUGGGAUUAUUUGUAGACUUCCUUGCUGAACCCUACAAGGAGCAGACGCAUUCCCAGUUUGCUUCCAGAGGAUAAGGCAGGGGAAGAGUUCCAAUUACAACAUGGGGCUUCAAGUGUCUAUUACUGUGGAACACCAAUAUCCGUGCAUUUUAGUUACGACUAAGUGCCACACCAAUGAAUGUGAAUGUCCGUUCAGGUAAUAAGUAUCACGAUUAGCAAUUUUGGUUUGUCCCCAUAGUCUAUGUGUGUCCCAUGUCCUUUCAGCACCUUCUGCUAUUUUCCUGCAUUUUUCUUCCCUUCUGCUGCAGAUUAAGUGACUGAAAGCAAACAAAUGUUAUUCUGGACUCUUCAGAUUAUCAAGUACAGUAUACUGUAGCAUAUCAGCUUCUUAAAUUUCUAUUGCAACCUAGCAUAUACCAGCAUAAAAAAGUUUCUUUUGCUCAUCAUGUAUAUUAUGUUCCUCUAAAUCACGUGUACCAUUUUCAGCUAUUAAUAGUGCAGUACUACAUGAAGGCAAUAUGUUAGCAUAUUAGGUACUACUAUUCUUUGCUCUCUAAUUUGUGAGCGCUUAUGGUUUUGCUGCAGUACAGACUCGGCAUCUAUUCUUCUUGGUACAAACUAAUGUUCUAAUAAGGUGUGAUAAAUUUAAUAAUAAGAAGAUAUUGCAGAGAUUAACACAAUGUUUUCCUGCAGUUUUUUCACCUAAAAUCGUCCUUCAACACAAUGAUUUUAUUGUGUUAAUGUCUUUCAAAUCUCAACUUUGUACAUGCAGUGUCCAUCUUGGUUCUGGUGAAUUGAUUUGGGGAACUCUUGAAAUCUGUUUCUUGUAUAUUGGCCAUGAUAACUCUUCACUUGACAUUCUGCAAUGGCUUCCAGCCAGGGUUUUCUUGUUGCUGCUAUUCCUCGUGGAUAUUCAAGAGGCAACUUGGCACCUAAUGUCAACAGCAUGCUUUUUGGUGACGAGUGAAAUGAAAGAAGGAUGCAAUGGAAUUUGUAUUAGGCAUCUGUUCUUCAAAUGAGGCUCCAACCUGAGCAAGGGCAUGGUUUGCAGAUGAUGUAUCUACUUUAUGUGUGUCAGAAGAGCCCUCCGACGCCCAGCCGCUGGUGUCUCUGCCCGAAGAAGGCUCAUGGUUCCCCACCUCUCUACAACUCAUAUUAAAAUUUUGGUAUAUUCUUUUCUUACUUUAUUUCCCGUGAACAAAAAGUUGGAACCUAUUCUUAAUUUCCCAUAGUGGUUUUGAUGGUAUUUGGUCAGUGUGUUCCUGACUGGAAUUGCAUGUAUAUCUUACAGAUUAACAUUGCAACAAUUAAUAAGGAGAAUAGAAACAUUUGCAUCCUCUAAUACUUUGCCUGCCAUGCUUAGCGAGAAUUCAAAAUAGUGACCUUUGGAUAUCAAUUAUGGGUUUGUAAUUUCGUGCCAGGACCUAAAAGCAUUUUUGUCUCAUGCUUCGACUAUCAUAUCUAUUUUCUCUGUAAAUUCUAGACAUCCAGUUCAGAUUAUGAUCUUUGCAUGCCCUUUUAUUGUAUCUUCUGAAAUAGGCCAACAUUACAAAAAAGAGCCACAUGUUUUAGAAAUUGAAUCACCAUGACAGCUUUUCAGGUUAUGGUUCUUUAGCCAUUUAAUGCAGUAUCAAUGGUUCAGUGUGCUUCAUGAAAUGAAACAUAAUGUGUAGUUCAGCAGUUUUGAGCCUUACCCGCAUAUUUUUGCUUCACCCGUCACCACAGUGGUCUUACCUCACCUUGACCAUGGAGCCACUAGGAGUAUGAUCAAUAUAUGAUCAUUCUUAGAGUUGAAAUUCUAAUUUCCAUACUAAAUCAAUUGCUUCCUUCAUCAAGUGAUUCAUAGUAAACCAGUAAACAUGAAUUUUAUGUGGAUAUAUUACUUCUUUGUUUGCCAUUUAUUUUGUUCAAAAUAUUUAUAUGGCAUUUUUCAAAAAGCUUAAGGUUAGAGAUGUGGUGCUGUAUGAGGCUAUUGUUAGGAUGGAAGAUAAAUUAAUGUUAAAAUAUUUUUGAUUUCCUUUAUUCCGUAAACGGCAAUACAAGAUAUGUUUGGGCCACAUGAUUCUAUUCCAAAAAUUUAAACAACUUGGCAAUUAACGACGCAUCAAAUGUUAUGUAUUGAAAAUUUGAAAUGGAUCACUUUGUCAGGUUGGGUUUUAGUAGGUCAUAAUGGUUUUAUUCUAUGACAAGCUUAAUUUGUUUAUAAUGUAACCAGUUCAAGGAUUGACGAGUUUUUGAGCCCUAUGACCUUUGUACACUCAGGUUCGGCUGUGUUCUUUGUGAAGUAUAUGUCCUGCAAGGCUCAUGUGCGUUGCACUGUUUUCACUUUCCAAGCUACAGUCUAUACUCCCUCUGUAAACUAAUAUACUCCAAGCUACAAUCUUUAGUGAUCUGAACGGUCUUAUAUAAAUUACAAAGGGAGUACUUGGAAGGAGAUUCUUUGUAUGUUGUUUGAUUCCAUUAGCCGUACAACCUAAAUUAGCAAUUAGGUAUCUACACAAUGUAGUGGAACCAUUGUGCUUGCUGUAGUUUUAUUUUAGCGUCGAAAUGUUCCUCUUAGUUUGUUCUGUACUGAGAAAUAUUUUUGUUUUCCGGCCAUUGUUUACUAAAUCCUAUAAACAUAUUACCUUAUAUGGCCUUUGAAGUUUCCAUUUUAUAAAGAGCUUUCCACUGAUCAACUUGAGUAUGGUAUGGUUUAUUCUUUUUUGUUGCAGCUAUUCCAGAGAAGUUUAGAGAUCCACAACCUUAGUAGAGAUGAAACAAUCAAUCAGCUGAGAUGCAUCACAUGAUCUUUUUCUCUUCACUUUGAUGGGUAUUGAACCCAUAGAUCAGCUUAUCAAUGGAACUCUUAUCAGCGUUGAGAAGGUGGCACAAAAUCACGCAGGGUGAUCAGCUAAGAAGCAUCAGGAAGGACUUUUAGGAUGGUACCGUGGUCAAAUGCAUCCUAGGAUAGGUCCUUUAAGAAUUAUGGUGUGUUUCCCUCCUUUUGUUUACCAUAGGCACAGAGGUUUAGCCUCAAUUUAUUAUGAUAUUUUUGUUUAGAGUAGAUGCAGAACUGAGACUUACCCAGGUUGUGAGAGCUGGUGAUGAUUCUAUUAAAAGUCCCUUGUUGCCUGCAACGUUUGUCUCUGUAAACAGCAUAACUAACGUCGUAUGGUUUCCAAUGUGACUAAGAUGUAAAUUCUUCCUUGGUGUA